UAAGUACUGACACCCCCGACUCCCGGUGUUCUCAGCAGUUCGUUGAUGUCCAUGGCGCCCGACGGGCGACGGCUACAAUUGGAGUCCUCGACAUAUCUCUCUCUCUCUCUCUCUCUCUCUCAAAUAGGAAGGUGUGUGUGAAGGGAGUUGAGUAUCGAACCUGUUUGAAUGAGAUUCUAGUCCAUGCUGAAGUCGUUUUGCAGAAGAUUUGCACUGGAUUCAGGCUCAAGCUCAACUUGGAAUCCCACAUUGGAGUUGCUGAACUUCAGUAACCUGAGCUUAGGCAUUCAAGGCGGUGAUUGAGUUGUUCGGUUUGUGGAAAUUGGUGUCCCGAUCUUGCAAUUUAUAAGUUGGAUUCGAGCUUCCAAUAAAAGCAGGUGGGGGGAGGGUGAACGAAGAGCUUGCCUGAGCAAGUUGCAGAAGCUCCCGGUCUUCUGUUCAUCGGAAGAGAUGAAAGGUAGAGAUCAUAAGUGUAAGAACAUAUUUUUUAAAAAUUGAAUCAUAUUACUCUCGCAGCAACAAAAAUCCCAGAGAGCCCGGAAGAGAAGACAGACGAGACCAUUGAUACCACCGGCGUUAAAGCUUUCAGCUGAAGUAGCCCUACUGUGGAAGAGUCGGAACAAGCAACAUUGAUGCAAAUCGUAGAUCAUGGGACAAUUGACUCAUGAAGUAGUUUUUGACUAAUUAUGUAGGUCAAGGGGGUGUAACAGUCCUUCAUACAUUCUAUUCAUGCGAGCCUAGCCAGUAAUAAGAAGUUCUGUUGUUGUUAAAAAACUAAUCCGCUUCUCUGGAAACCUUAAAACUGUUCAGGGCUCAGUUGUAGACAGUCAAGGCGUUCCCCAGUUGAUGGUUUGACCAGUUCAUCCUUAGGUUUGGUUAAAAUAUUUUGUUGACAUUGAUAUACACCAAUUUGUGCUUAAUUAAUGUUGGAAGCUAGGGGUAAAAUUUUCGAA